rnacentral:rRNA from 1 species
UACGUAGGGGACAAGCGUUGUCCGGAUUUACUGGGCGUAAAGAGCGUGUAGGCGGCCAAGCAGGUCCGUUGUGAAAACUGGAGGCUUAACCUCCAGACGUCGACGGAAACCGCGUGGCUAGAGUCCGGAAGAGGAGAGUGGAAUUCCUGGUGUAGCGGUGAAAUGCGCAGAUAUCAGGAAGAACACCAAUGGCGAAGGCAGCUCUCUGGGACGGUACUGACGCUGAGACGCGAAAGCGUGGGGAGCGAACAGG